CCUACGGGAGGCAGCAGUGAGGAAUAUUGGUCAAUGGGCGCAAGCCUGAACCAGCCAAGUCGCGUGAGGGAUGACGGUCCUAUGGAUGGUAAACCUCUUUUGUCGGGGAGCAAGGCCCGCCACGUGUGGCGGGAAGGAGAGUACCCGAAGAAAAAGCAUCGGCUAACUCCGUGCCAGCAGCCGCGGUAAUACGGAGGAUGCGAGCGUUAUCCGGAUGUAUUGGGUUUAAAGGGUGCGUAGGCGGAAGGUUAAGUCAGCGGUAAAAUGUCGGUGCUCAACACCGGCCUACCGUUGAAACUGGUCUUCUUGAGUGAGGGAGAAGUAUGCGGAAUGCGUGGUGUAGCGGUGAAAUGCAUAGAUAUCACGAAGAACUCCGAUUGCGAAGGCAGCAUACCGGCGCUCAACUGACGCUGAGGCACGAAAGCGUGGGGAUCGAACAGGAUUAGAUACCCCGGUAGUC
rnacentral:rRNA from 1 species